ACCGUGUUUAUCUCGGUUUUCAUUAUCCUCCUAACACGAACGAGAGCAAUUCCACCUUCUUGGAAGACCGCAACAAUGAGCCGCAGGAAUAAAUGGCGUUUAGUUUUGUCCUGCUGGUCUCCCACCGAACUAAACGGGCGGCGUACAAUUCAUUGGCUCUCGUCAAGCCAGUUCAAGGCUUUCGGAAUUGUAUGUAGUAAUUAUAUUAAAUAUUAUGAAUAAAAGACAACAAAUUUAAUCUUUCGAACAAGAUC